CAUGGAAGUAGCGAUGAUCAAAACAUAAUAGAAAUUAGGAACUAAGUAAAGAUAAGACAGACACUGACACCAAGAGCUCAGAAAAAUUAAGAGGCUGAAAUCAGGCAUGAAAUCAGGAAGCAGGAGGAAACCCAAACCACAGGGCUAGACAGAACAGAUGGUCAAAGCCUGAGCAUACAACCAGGAGCUGAAGGGACCAGCUUGGCCGUCAGUUGCAAGGAUGUGAGGCAGAAGCAACACAAAAGAUCUUGAUAUGAAGCAAUUAUUUUUGGUCUUAAACUGCUGGAACUCCAGAUGACCCAGACCAUGGUCGGCAGGCAGAAGCCAGAGACAUGUUCUUGCUCUGUCACCUAGGCUGUAAUACAGUGGCAUGAUCCUACCUCACAGCAGCCUCCAACUCCUGGGCUCAAGAGAUCCUCCUGCCUCAGCCUCCUGACUAGCUGGGACUACAGGAAUGUGCUAUCACACCCAGCUAAUUUUUAAAUUUUUCAAAGAGAUGACAUCUCACUAUAUUUCCCGGGCUGGUCUUGAACUUCUAGCCUCAAGCAAUCCUCCCACCUCAGCCUCUGAACGUGCUGGGAUUACAGAUGGAGCAACUGAGAUUCUUCCCCAGCUAGAUUAUAAGUCCUCUGAGGGAUAAGGAACACAUCUGGUUUCCUCAUCUCUCUGUCACAGCACCUUGUGAAUGCCUAGAAGACAGUAAGAAUCAACUGAAUAUUUGUAGAAAGAAUAACGAUAAUUACCUAUAGUCUAAAGGUUUAGUGAUGAAAUGAAGUCCACUAACUUCUCUCUGCUUAUUUCCACCCUCAAUAAUAUAUUUCCUCAACCCCCACAGAGGAAAGACAAUUCAUUUUUUACUAUUGUUUAAUACAGCCAUGUUUGUACAUAGCUUCCUGUUCUGCUUAGCCCAAGACGUUAAGUGGGUCAGGAGUAACCUCUGCCCUCUGUUUUUUUUCCAUUCCUCUGUCACCUGCUUAAGUGGCAGCCCAGAGUAGCUUGGGGGCUUCCCUGAAGAUGAGCAGAGUACAGUAGAUUAGGCAUGGCUUUUCUAUUUCUACUAUGGAGAAACUGAAAAAGCUAUAUGGCUGGAAAAAAAUCACCUUGGUACUAAUUUGCUAUUUUACAAUAUUUGAAAAUAAAGACCUGUGGUCUUCCUAUGUAUUUAUUUUGAAACAACGAGGGGUAUGGAACAACAUCUAUGCAUAAACAUCAAGGUCUUCAAGUGAAUUUUCAGGUUGUGAAGUAUGUGAUCUGUUACUACGAGGGAGAGAUGUUUCCUAACCAUAAAAAUGAAUGUGACUUUUUUUUAAAGGAUGCAUCUAAAUUAUAAAAGACAAUCAUUUCACUGGCGGGAAUAGAAUUCACUUAUUCUGAGUCAUGCCUAUUACAUUAUAUUUUGUUUAGCAUAAUUAAUGGUGAAUCUGAGUUGUCCCAGAGAAGUAAACCUUAAUUCUCCUCUCCCUACUUCCACCUCUCUCAUUUUAAAGUCUUCGAUUAGUUUUUCCCAAAUGUUUCCAGUCUUAAGAUUUAAGGAAUUUGAAGCCUUUCCCAAAGAUCCAAUCUUCCAGAUAAAAGGAAAAUAUAACACAGCAUUCCAAUAAAAAUAAAAUAUUCUUGGGUUUCCAUUUUUAAUUAUACCUAUUUUUAAUGCUCAUUAAAUAUAUUUCCCUCUGCCAAGAAGAGAGCUUUUUAGAAAUGUUUGUUUCUUAACCAGUGUACUGUUUUCUUUUUUUUAACUUUGUCUUAUCCCAAAAAUCAAUGAGCAAUGUUCUUUUAUUUUUUUUUUCUUCCCUGGCUUUAUAACCUAAGGAAAUAGGUUUUGUGGUAUGUUUACUUGUUCAUUUUUAACUUGCAGUAAUCAUGAGAGAUUGGUGCCCUGUGUUUCCUAUGUAACUCACAGUCUCAAAUGAUUCACAUGUAUCAUCUUUCUUUUCUCAAAACCUUAAAGUGUUAUUUUACACCUGGUCUCUGAUCAUUUACAGUCCAUUUUUUAGCCUGUUUGAAUAGACUGUUUUUUCAAGGAAAGUAAUCAUAAAUUUUAAUUUUAGGCACUAUUUUGUCCUUUUUGUACUAAGGACAGAUUUAUAGCAUUUUACAAAGAAAAAAAUAGCACAGUAAAAGAACAUAAAACAAAUACGAAAUAGGAAGUUGGAGAAGGGGAAUCUGAGAACAGGAAAAUAGAAUUGAGGCAAAGGUAACAAGACGGAGAGUUCAUGAAAUGGAUAUCAUCAGAGUAUGUAUAUUUAUUAGAGGCAGGAUGCAACUUAGACUUUAAGAUUCUAGAAAUCAAAUUUAAGCAGGACAAUCAAUUACGCAGGCUAUAAUUUCAAAAAGAAACAAACAAACCGGAUGCUUAGAAGCACUUCUCUAACUCAAGAGAUAAAGCAUUUAUUUUGUGGAUCCUGUUACUGUAAUCUAAUGUAACAAAGUAACAAGUCCCUAACCACAUUAUUUUAGGAAAAUCAGCAAAGGGUUACACUAGGUUGUUUCAACGAAUACUCUUCAAACACCAGGCUGAAACGAUGCCAAGAUGCGCUUCAGUAAAAGCUACCCAGAAAGUGUUGGCAAGGAGGGAGGAGAGAUUUU